rnacentral:rRNA from 1 species
UGCCAGACUCCUACGGGAGGCAGCAGUGGGGAAUAUUGCACAAUGGGGGGAACCCUGAUGCAGCGACGCCGCGUGAGCGAUGAAGUAUUUCGGUAUGUAAAGCUCUAUCAGCAGGGAAGAAAAUGACGGUAUCUGACUAAGAAGCCCCGGCUAACUACGUGCCAGCAGCCGCGGUAAUACGUAGGGGGCAAGCGUUAUCCGGAUUUACUGGGUGUAAAGGGAGCGUAGACGGCGGUGCAAGCCAGAUGUGAAAGCCCGGGGCUCAACCCCGGGACUGCAUUUGGAACUGUGCUGCUAGAGUGUCGGAGAGGCAGGCGGAAUUCCUAGUGUAGCGGUGAAAUGCGUAGAUAUUAGGAGGAACACCAGUGGCGAAGGCGGCCUGCUGGACGAUGACUGACGUUGAGGCUCGAAAGCGUGGGGAGCAAACAGGAUUAGAUACCCCCGUAGG